AUUGAACGCUGGCGGCAUGCCUUACACAUGCAAGUCGAACGGCAGCACGGGUGCUUGCACCUGGUGGCGAGUGGCGAACGGGUGAGUAAUAUAUCGGGACGUACCUUAUCGUGGGGGAUAACGCAGCGAAAGCUGUGCUAAUACCGCAUAAGCCCUAAGGGGGAAAGCAGGGGACCGUAAGGCCUUGCGCGACUAGAGCGGCCGAUACCUGAUUAGCUAGUUGGUGAGGUAAAGGCUCACCAAGGCAACGAUCAGUAGCUGGUCUGAGAGGACGAUCAGCCACACUGGGACUGAGACACGGCCCAGACUCCUACGGGAGGCAGCAGCGGGGAAUUUUGGACAAUGGGGGCAACCCUGAUCCAACAAUGCCGCGUGAGUGAAGAAGGCCUUCGGGUUGUAAAGCUCUUUUGUCAGGGAAGAAACAGCAGCUCUAAUACAGUAUGCGAAUGACGGUACCUGAAGAAUAAGCACCGGCUAACUACGUGCCAGCCGCCGCGGUAA
rnacentral:rRNA from 1 species